rnacentral:rRNA from 1 species
GACGAACGCUGGCGGCGUGCCUAAUACAUGCAAGUCGAACGCAGUGGGGACGGGUGAGUAACACGUGGGUAACCUCCCAUCAGAGGGGAUAACACUUGGAAACAGGUGCUAAACCGAUACUGAUUGAUGGACCAGCGGUGCAUUAGCUAGUUGGUGGGGUAACGGCUCACCAAGGCCACGAUGCAUAGCCGACCUGAGAGGGUGAUAGGCCAAACGGGGAGAGAGAAACGGCCCAGACUCCUACGGGGGGCAGAAGGAGGAAAUCUUCGGCAAUGGAUGAAAGUCUGACCGGGCAAUGCAGGGUGAGGGAAGAAGGUUUUCGGAUCGUAAAACUCUGUUGUUAGAGAAGCGUUAUCUAACCAGAAGGCCACGGCUAACUACGUGCCAGCAGCCGCGUAAUUC